AUUGAACGCUGGCGGCAGGCCUAACACAUGCAAGUCGAACGGUAGCACAGAGAGCUUGCUCUCGGGUGACGAGUGGCGGACGGGUGAGUAACGUCUGGGAAACUGCCCGAUGGAGGGGGAUAACUACUGGAAACGGUAGCUAAUACCGCAUAACGUCGCAAGACCAAAGUGGGGGACCUUCGGGCCUCACACCAUCGGAUGUGCCCAGAUGGGAUUAGCUAGUAGGUGGGGUAAUGGCUCACCUAGGCGACGAUCCCUAGCUGGUCUGAGAGGAGGACCAGCCACACUGGAACUGAGACACGGUCCAGACUCCUACGGGGGGCAGCAGUGGGGAAUAUUGCACAAUGGGCGCAAGCCUGAUGCAGCCAUGCCGCGUGUAUGAAGAAGGCCUUCGGGUUGUAAAGUACUUUCAGCGGGGAGGAAGGCGGUGAAGUUAAUAGCUUCACCGAUUGACGUUACCCGCAGAAGAAGCACCGGCUAACUCCGUGCCAGCCGCCGCAGUAA
rnacentral:rRNA from 1 species